AGGGCCAUUCACAAGCCCAGGGAGAGACCCACCACACACCAACCCUUCUGUCUCCUUGAUCUGGGACUUCUACUCUCCAGAGCUGUAAACAAAUUGGGAAUCUCUCAUGGAAGAACCUUCAGAAGGAGAAGAUUCUAUCUCAUGGCAAGAUCCCUGGAAUCCUUUGAUCCUACACACCCUUCCUGAUCUUAGGGACCAGCAGUUCCCAUUCCUACCCUGAAAGGUGUUGAUCGGCCAUAGGAAUUCGGCUGAUACUGACAUGUUGACACCGAGAUCUUUGUCGGAACCAAACAAAAACACUGCCCGUGCAUCCUCAUGGCCCUCUCCUCUCCUUAGAAAAGCUACUGGCUUAAACAGAGAUGUUAAGUUUUGUUUUGUUUUUUUAGGACAGGAGUCUGCCAUCAUUUUGGA